UGCAGCCCUGGGGGAACCUAGGAGGGGCCGCUGUCGCGUGCCGGCCUAGCGCGUGCGGCUCCCUGGGUGGGGCGCUGGCUGCGCGGGAAAGGUGCGUGGGCUCCGUGGUGUCUCUGGAAGGCACCGGGAAGCUGUGAAAAGCCCCGCUCCCACCUGCUUGCCCCCUGCUGAUGAGAUACACCGCUCCCUCCUUGCACGGACCGGCUCAAUGGUGUGAGGUGCUGGGCACCUUGCUGCACUCCGGCGGGGCUUGAGCCCUGGGCACCAGGUACCUCUGGCAGUCUCGGCUUCCUGCCCUGUGUGACUUCUGCCCUUCUGGUGUGGGGACUGCACCAAUACAAGCCACAGCACAGGAAUAACAAGAAGAUGCCCAGUCUAGCUGGGGAGCUCCCUUGGGCAGUUGCAGGGCACAGGUCACCUCAGGAGUUAUCAAUCCAUGAGAGGACCUACCUUCCUUAUCCGAUGACAGCUUAAGAGCCUUUGGUGAGGGACCUUGUCAAAGGCUUUCUGAAAAUCUAAGUACACUAUAUCCACUGGAUCCCCUUUGUCCACAUGCUUGUUGACCCCCUCAAAGAAUUUUACUAGAUUGGCGAGCUGCAAAUGUUUCAACGCUGCCACUAGCAUCUCCAGGCCAGAGGCUAGUGCAGAUCAGAAGGUGAAAAAAAUGCAUGUGCGAUGAAAUGUUCUCUGAGCUCAUGCAGUCCACCCAAACUGAAAGAGCCCAGCAGAAUGCGUGGAGGCAGAGUCCAGGAAAGCACAAAAUGAAUGUGAGGACACAUGGCUGGAGCAACAGGAGAGGUGGCAGCAGUGUGAUGAGAGGAGGGAGGAUGCAAUGCUGAGGCUACUGGAGGAUCAAACUGAUAUGCUCCGGCAUAUGGUUGAGGUGCAAGAAAAGCAGAGACCGCCACUGCAGCCCCUGUGUAAUCAACUGCCCUCCCCAAGUUCCACAGCCUCCUCACCCAAACACCCAAGAAGGUGGGGGGGAGGGAGAGGGCUCCAGGCACCCAACCACAGGACUGCCCAAGCAACAGAAGGCUGGCAUUCAAUAAGUUUUGAAGUGCAAUGUAGGCUUGUCCUUGCCUCCUCCCCCACCCCUUCCAGGCUACCUUGGCAGCUAUCCUCCUAUUUGUGUGACAAAUU